CAGCUUCCUGGUACAGCACCGAAGCCACCUCCAGUGCCUGGAGCUAAGUCUCCAGCAGCAGUGUCUUCCCAAGGCUCCCAGUUUCCUGGCACAGCACUGCUGCCACCUCCAGUGCCUGCAGCUAAGUCUUCGGCAGCAGAAGGCUCCCAGCUCCCAAAUGCAGCAGGGCUGGAGGAAGGGGUGCUGAGGAAGUCUCUUUCCAUGAAAUU